AAAUUGAAGAGUUUGAUCAUGGCUCAGAUUGAACGCUGGCGGCAGGCCUAACACAUGCAAGUCGAACGGUAACAGGAAGCAGCUUGCUGCUUUGCUGACGAGUGGCGGACGGGUGAGUAAUGUCUGGGAAACUGCCUGAUGGAGGGGGAUAACUACUGGAAACGGUAGCUAAUACCGCAUAACGUCGCAAGACCAAAGAGGGGGACCUUAGGGCCUCUUGCCAUCGGAUGUGCCCAGAUGGGAUUAGCUAGUAGGUGGGGUAACGGCUCACC
rnacentral:rRNA from 1 species